UAUAAUUAACCUUUCAAAUUAAUGAUCCCUUCCUUAAUUGGCGUUCUUGAACUCCUAUAUAAUUCUUGCUAGAAGAGUUACGGUAACCAAAAAGCAUCCUGUUUUUUUUUAUAAGAAAUCUCCAAAUUAGGCUAAAAAAGAAAAAUGGAGAACGUACCAUUCAAGCUGGCCUUUCUGGUCAUACUCCUAGUCACUGCAUCAGGUUUGCCAUUCUCAACGGCAAAGAGAGGAUAUUUGCCAGUUCGAUGUAAAACUGAUGCUAACUGCAAGAAUAAAUGUUUAUGGGAGAAAAGCACCUGUGUAGAUGGCUUCUGUACUUGCCCAUUAGGCUGAGAAACAGCAAAUGCUCUGUCACCCUUUAGACUAUUUGCAGAAUUUCGUGAAUUAGUCUAUGGUAAUAUGUACCUUAGAUAGCUUGUACCUUUGAAUGCGUAACAAGCUAUCAACAAUGGAAUAAAAAGGUGCUUCUAAAUUUUGAUGAUUCAA